UCCUCGGGCCCCUUCACCCGCGUGGGAGACCCAGAAGUUCCUGGCUCCUGGCUUCGGAUUGGCACAGCUCCGGCCGUUGUGGCCAACUGGGGGAGUGAACCAGUGGAUGGAAGAUCUCUCCCUCUCUCUCUGCCUCUCCUCUCUCUGUGUAACUCUGACUUUCAAGUAAACUAAUAAUAAAUAAAUCUUUUUUUUAAAAAAAGGUCAGCUGAAUGUUUUGUCGACCACAGCCACCCCGAGCUCUCAUGCCUAGUAAUUCUGAAGUACACAAGAUUUCUGAUAAAUCUUGGUUUCCUGCUAUUUCCUAUUUAUUUGGUUAAACACAGAUAUAACCAACAAUCACAACAAAAAACGAUACAGGUUUAAUUUUUUUUUUUUCUCAGAGACAGAAGACGGAAUGGAUUGUGUCUUACACAUACAAAGUGUAUCUUCAUAGGUGAGCCUCCCUGGAGCACUACAUGUCACAGCCUGGUGAAACGGAACCGUGUCGGCCCACAGAACUCACCCCCCACCCCAGCUCUAAAGGUUACAUUAAGAACUUUACCAGGAAAGAAAUGACUGCAAACUCUGGUAUCUACAUGCUGUGAUGCAACUGACAUUUUGCAAAACAAAAGGAAUGAAAGCUCUCGGCGGUUUCUUAGCAGUUGGCCAUCUGUAUAACCAUUACUUAACUAAAUUCCGAGACAGUAACUAGUACUUUGCUUUGAAAGGCAACAACACAAAACAAGUCCUGGGCAGACAAGACCUCAGAUAUCUAAUUCACCUAAUUCACGAAAAUCGAGCCCGAGGUUUACCUUGGAUCCAUGAAAUUUGGGAAAGGGGAGCCAAGGAGGACCCCACCGCCCACAGGGACUGAGGAUCCAGAAGCCAUAUGUAGUGUUACAAUCUUCUCUGCUCACUCCGCUGGAACUCCACUCACACAUCCUUCUCCCCAGUCCCACUGGCCCAAGAGGGGUCUGGGAAAGAUCUGAGGAAGAUGGGACGUUGGAGGUGGACUUGAAAGGACAAAAUAAAAGUUUCCCAGAGAUAAACAGGGAAAAGCCAAACUUGGAAAUACAGAAAAUCAUGACCCAGGGGAGAGAAACGGUGGUGCAGAGCGGCAAAUGGGAGCUACAGGGUCAGAUGUGCGUUUUAGAAAAAGGUAAGCCCUGCUACAUACAGGCCAUAGCAGUAAAGAUGCACAGAGACUUUUCAGGGAAAGAAUAGUAGGACUGGGUGCAAACUGGAUGGGAAGUAUAAUUAAGGGUAAAGAAUCCCAAUAUCUAGCUUGUCCACUUUUGUCUAUAAGAGCUGUUGCCAGAGGAAAAUGGGAAUGCCGUGCACUGUGUGUGGUGACAGUAAGGUGUUCCAGAAACACUAAGAAUCUGACUCUUUCUAGAUGUCUGUCCGAUAGAGUCCAAGAUGCAUCCCAGGCCACUCUUGAGAAAGAUUUGCCAGAAGUCAAGAUCGGUUUCACCCAUGAUUCUAUGGUGAGCCUGUCUUAAUCUGGGAGAAGCGUUUUUGCUUUUGCAAACCUGAAAAUUGGAGUUCUUGUGUCUCCUUUCCCCGGGUGCAGUCACCAAAUUAGGGGAGUGAGUUUCUUCAUUCACAACGGCCAGCAUAAAACCUGCCUGAAGAUUUCCUGAGUCCCCGUGCCUUGCAACCAUCUAUUAGGGGCUUAAAAAUGUUGGUGGAAAAAAAAAUAUGGAAUGAAAAGAUAAGUUUCUGUUGGCACAAAGAAAUUUUUUUUUUGAAAUCUGAGCAUAGUUUUUCAUAUUACACAUUUCCCAUGAACUUUUUAGAAGGACCCCUGGUAUGCAUGGAUUUUUUUUAAAAAGUUUUUGCAUCAAAAUAAACUUGUCCUUUUCCAUGAACUUUUGGAAGUGCCCCCGUGGGUCCUACAUAUGCUUCAAAAGGACAAAAUUCUAGGGGCAGAUGUGCCCUGGAGAGGAGGCACAGGCAGGCACUUGUCCAGCCAAGAUAAGGAUAUUUCCUACUGAAAAGCAGGCAAUCUGCAUUCUGAACUCUGUUACUGUCAGUGUCCUGCAACAUUUUUGUCAUGCGCAGGGGAGAUACUCUAGCCUGCUGGUCAGAGGCAAACCGGUUUUCCAUCACCAGAGAGAAGUGGAAGUAAAGAAAACAAACCCCCACAUAAGAAUAACUGUGGCAAAUCCCGGCUGGAAGGUGAACAUAGAAGCCUCUGCUUGCAGAAAUUGAAGAUUUCUCAAGUGCUUCUGUUAUUUUACCCUAGAAAUUAUAUUUGGUAGAGUCCUCAUUUCAGGGAGAAAGACAUACUUCUUAGGUGCCCAGGGUGCAUUUUUCUUCUAGUGAGGUUUGGAUGAAUACACAUGUUGGCAUUUAGAACUCAUUAACAUUUUGAAGGACAUUCUCCUGGCCUUGAGCAGUAAGAACUCAAGACUCAAGUUAGGGCAGUUUCAACCAAGACAAAGAAGGGUGGAGACUGAAGAUAUUAGAGUUCUAAAAGUGCACCCUAGGAGGAAAGUUGGCAAAGCACAGUCUGGCCGACAGGGCUGUCUAAAUAUCUGUUGACUGAAUCAGUAUAAACCGAUGGAUGAAGGAAUGACAAGUGACAUAAAAUAAAGGAAUAUGUCUCUUUAGGAUUAACACCCUGUCUGCUUGUUUCCUAUCUGGUGGGUUGUUUGCUAGCGUGACAACACAUGAUUCCUUGUGGAAGUACCCAAAUUAAGGAGUUUAGGGCAGAUUCCACUUAUUAAGAAGUAAUCAUUUAGGACAGCUUUGCUCUUGUAAGCGUUGAUGCUACGUGUUUAGGGAUUUGAAACGUAGUUAAAAAGCCACCCCACUUCUGUGAGUUAAAGA